rnacentral:rRNA from 1 species
CGGGGGGCUGCAGUAGGGAAUAUUGCUUAAUGGGCGAAAGCCUGAAGCAGCAACGCCGCGUGUACGAUGAAGGCCUUCGGGUUGUAAAGUACUUUUUGUAGGGAUGAGGAAGGACAGUACCUGCAGAAUAAGCCUCGGCUAACUACGUGCCAGCAGCCGCGGUAAAACGUAGGAGGCGAGCGUUAUCCGGAUUUACUGGGCGUAAAGCGCGUGUAGGCGGAUUGGUAAGUUGGCUGUGAAAGCUCCUGGCUUAACUGGGAGAGGUCGGUCAAUACUGUCAGUCUAGAGUAUGUGAGAGGGAAGUGGAAUUCCGGGUGUAGUGGUGAAAUGCGUAGAUAUCCGGAGGAACACCAGAGGCGAAAGCGGCUUCCUGGCACAUUACUGACGCUCAGACGCGAAAGCUAGGGUAGCAAACGGGAUUAGAUACCCCAGUAGUC